rnacentral:rRNA from 1 species
CAGCAGCCGCGGGAAUACGAAGGGUGCAAGCGUUACUCGGAAUUACUGGGCGUAAAGCGUGCGUAGGUGGUGGUUUAAGUCCGUUGUGAAAGCCCUGGGCUCAACCUGGGAAUUGCAGUGGAUACUGGGUCACUAGAGUGUGGUAGAGGAUAGUGGAAUUUCCGGUGUAGCAGUGAAAUGCGUAGAGAUCGGAAGGAACAUCUGUGGCGAAGGCGACUAUCUGGGCCAACACUGACACUGAGGCACGAAAGCGUGGGGAGCAAACAGGAUUAGAUACCCGCGUACCCUGUCUCUUAUACAC